CUACCACACAAAUCACAACUCUAGAACAAGAAAUCAUUUAAGAUAUAAACCAACUAUGUUUCAUACAUGGCCCAAGAAAGAAUGAACAUUAAAAACCAACUGGCUUCUUCUAGCAUGGAUGCAAGAUGAAAAAACUAGAACAUUGAACAAUCAAGAUUAAAACUAAUGGGGCACGAUAUACAUACACAACUUAAACUACGAAAAAUAGAUCUAAAGUAUUUUCUGGGGCCAUGAAUCACAAAUCCACAUUUCACCAACCAAAUUGGAGUAAACCCUAGAACCGAAAUCAAGAGUUAUUGACCUAUUUAACUUGAGACACGGGCACGGGCAAGCCAUAGACUUUUAGAAUAUGAAAUACUUUCACUUAAACUAUAGUUGCAUUUGGGUGGCUUAACCUAUCUGAUCUUGAGGUACUAAGUGAUCAUUAUUCUGCCUCCUUGCAAUGGUAACUCAUAUUCAUCCAGUACUUCAUAUCUGGCCAUGUCAAUGCUAGAAUUUGAAACUGGCAAUUUUUUGUGGCAGGUGAAGAACGAAACCCAUGCCCUAUGGUCAUGGUAUCGGAAUCAGGACAUGUACAACAUGGCUGGAGAUCAGAUCUACAUUGUAAGGCAACCUGAUAGGUGCCCAGUGGAAUGAAAGGUUAAUGAGUUCCAAUAAGUUGCAAGCAAAAUGCCUUGAAAGACAAACAUUAGGGAAUAUUUUGUAGCACAGAUGGUCAAGUAUCAGAGGUGCAUUUGGUUAUUGUGGCCAUUACCUUCCACUUUCUUGAAUACAUGGAUUAGUACCAUUGAGCAAUUUGUAAUAGAAAUAACCAAAAAAACAAAGAAGUGCUUUAAAAGACUAUUAAAGUUGAAAAUAAAAAUCCUCAUUUUCAGCCUUUCCAUGCUCAUACAAGUCUUUUUUUGCCUUCCGUUUAAGCUGAAAAUGGGUGGUUCAAGUAGGGGGAGGAGAUGUUGGUGUUUCAGUUUGAUAAAUCGCAGAAGUAAUGCGAAUGGAGGGUAAUGAAUCUGUUGUUAAUUCUUUUCAGCGUAAAAAGCAUGUCACGCACGAAUAUGAAAAUCAAAACCCUAGCCUUGUAUUUGGGCAAAAUCUUCCGAUGAGGAGAAAAUCAAAUAAAAACCAUAGCCUUGUAUUUGGGCAAGAAUUAAGGAAAAAAUCAAAUCAAACUUGGUGAGGACUCUCCAAAAUAGUUGUUUUGCUUCAGCCAAAGCAAUCUGUCCCAAUAUGACUCUGAUUCUUCUCCGACUACGGAAUGAGAAAGAAGAAUGAUCGAUGAAAGACACGAGAAAUACAGAACAAGGAUCAAAACUGCAACUCAAGAUUAACGCCCUGGAAUAACUAGAGAUCGAUCCAUGGCGGCCAACUGGUGUUUCGAACAAAUACAGAAAUCUAUACCAGUUUGGACGAAGACAUUUAAGAGAAAUAUGAGAAAUCUAGCACCUACAACUUUGGCGGAGCCGAUCAGAAUUUUCAGCAAUGGUUGGCGCCUAUAAUUUAGGGGUGGAACGCUGUUGAAGACAUUAAUGAAAUGCUAUGGUAUUCUAGGCGCGAGCAUUUCCUCCCUUCUUAUCACAAAACAUUAUUAUUGGUUCUCUAUCACAGCAUUCCUAAAAAAAUGCUAUUAAUUAAUGCUAUGGAAAGUCAU